AAAAAAUUAGUUUAAAAAAAACCUCUAAUUGCAAGUUAGAUAUUUACGGAAGUAAUUUUUUU
rnacentral:tRNA from 1 species